GAAGUGGGAGGACUGUUUGAGUCUGAGAGGUUGAGGCUGCAGUGAGCUGUGAUCACACCACUGCAUUCCAGCCUGAGUGACAGAGCAAGACCUUGUCUCA
ensembl:miRNA